rnacentral:rRNA from 1 species
GCUUGUCUCAAAGAUUAAGCCAUGCAUGUCUAAGUAUAAGCAAUUAUACCGCGAAACUGCGAAUGGCUCAUUAAAUCAGUUAUCGUUUAUUUGAUAGUACCUUACUACAUGGAUAACCGUGGUAAUUCUAGAGCUAAUACAUGCUAAAAACCCCAACUCACGAAGGGGUGUAUUUAUUAGAUUAAAAACCAAUGCCCUUCGGGGCUUCUUGGUGAUUCAUAAUAACUUCUCGAAUCGCAUGGCCUUGCGCCGGCGAUGGUUCAUUCAAAUUUCUGCCCUAUCAACUUUCGAUGGCAGGGUCUUGGCCUGCCAUGGUUACAACGGGUAACGGAGGGUUAGGGCUCGACCCCGGAGAAGGAGCCUGAGAAACGGCUACUACAUCCAAGGAAGGCAGCAGG